UACGGAGGAGGCAAGCGUUAUCCGGAAUCACUGGGCGUAAAGCGUCUGUAGGCGGCUUGGCAAGUCUGAUGUGAAAGCCCGAGGCUCAACCUCGGAACUGCACUCGAAACUGCCUGGCUCGAGUCCCGGAGAGGGUGGCGGAAUUCCCGGUGUAGGGGUGAAAUCCGUAGAUAUCGGGAGGAACACCAGUGGCGAAGGCGGCCACCUGGACGGUGACUGACGCUGAGAUGCGAAAGCGUGGGGAGCAAACAGG
rnacentral:rRNA from 1 species